rnacentral:ncRNA from 1 species
CAGAUUGAGGUGCAGUUGCGAAGAGUAAUUAUAUGGAGUUUCCCAACUUUGAGAUGUAAUGAAAGGCAAAACUGCCGAAGCGGAAAAUUUUGUGGGGAUAGAAUUUUUCAGCUGGGUAUGCAGAAAAUAUCUGUAUGACUGUCAUUGAGAUUUGCAGGGUCUCAAUGUUGUGCUUUCU